UAAUACUGAGAACUGCUGAUCAGUGAGCAGCUGAUGAGCAUGCGUGAAUCAAGGACUUGAAUGAGGGGGCGAAGCGUUCAGUCGAGAGAAGUAAACACAUUUUUCUAUUGAGUAUUGUGCAUGCAGAUUAUAUCUGAAGUUGUGAUGAGCUGGAUCAUGGUUUCUGUAAAAAAGGUCUCGAAUAUAAAUUGCUGCACUUCACAAGACAUUCACUGUUUAAUUAUGGACCUUUGGAAGCAGCAGUAUGACAUCAAGCUUUGCCGUCAUACCUGCGUUUCUGAAUUCUUAGAUGAUCAAAUGAAGAGUGCUUUGAAACUUGUUCUCUCAGCUUGGCCCUUCACACUGAAGAGAAGGAAAAAAAGGAUUUAAACCAUGAAAAGUCUCUCAAUGACAUGCCGGGAAGAUGCUUAUAAACUACCCAUGCUUGCAGGUGUAAACCAGGGAGCCUGUCCAGGUGGCUAACCUUUAGCAUGGGAAGGCUGCACUACACAUCUCUCAAAGUUCAGGCAGAGGAAGGGCUGCUGACCCAUCGGAUGAUUUGAAGACUCAAAUACCACUUUCGUUUAUUAUUUAUCCCCGGCAGGCUGAGGGGGAGGGACGGGAUGCUGUGGGAGCGUCAUACCUGAGUUGGUAAUGUAAAGAAAUGGCCAUUUCUUGGAGGAUUGACUUUAGGGAAUCAAAUCCUGUUAAAGGCCUAGGAAAAUUGCUUAAUAUCGCGGGCUCAAAUAAGUUGUGGAUCAAAAUAUUUGGCCAUGAUGAAGGGGAACUGAAAAGAGCCACAUAUUUCUCUGACAUUCCAUGCCCCCCCCUGACAUUUAUUUUUACCCUUAAUAAGUCGUUGAUAAGUUGGUGAGGAAUAAGUGGCUGCCAGGUACACAGAAGUGCAAAGAAUAAACAUCAUAUUUCAGGGAUUUGUUGAAUUGGAAGGAUUUGAAAUAUAAAAAAACAACAACCAUUUGGUACCUUCAGCCCACAGGCACCUCUAGGUGUCAUAAGAUGCAAUUAUCUUCUUUCUCCGUCUCUCACUCUCCUUCUUUCUCUGUUGAUGCUCUUGGGAAGGUAAUGAACCUGUGUAAUUGCUGCAGAGUGUAAUGAUGCAUGUAUGUAUGAGCCAUGGCUUUGUGUUCUCUCUUGAAUUUUUAUCAAUAAGGGAGAUUGGAUUAAUAUUUCAAAGUUAAUGUUUUUGUUCACGACUUUGUGCAAAAAUAAACAUGAUUAAGUUUCACAGACUCUUGUGCA